rnacentral:rRNA from 1 species
UACGUAGGGUGCAAGCGUUGUCCGGAAUUAUUGGGCGUAAAGAGCUCGUAGGCGGCUUGUCGCGUCGACUGUGAAAUCCCGAGGCUCAACUUCGGGCUUGCAGUCGAUACGGGCAGGCUAGAGUUCGGUAGGGGAGACUGGAAUUCCUGGUGUAGCGGUGAAAUGCGCAGAUAUCAGGAGGAACACCGAUGGCGAAGGCAGGUCUCUGGGCCGAUACUGACGCUGAGGAGCGAAAGCGUGGGGAGCGAACAGG